GACAUAACGCAGCGCCUUCGCAGCCUCGCAGCAGCGCCGCGGUGACAGAUGAAGCCGGGGCGCUCCUUCGUCUCCUCCGAGAGGGAAGGGAAGCUCCUCGACAUGCCAAGGCUGCAGCCGGCCGCUCCCUUUCGCCUCUGCGAAUGAGCCGGUGCCCGGUGCCCACCCGGGUUGCAGCGCGUGGGGCGGCGCUGGCCGAGCACGAGGCCCCCCCUGUCCCCGUGGAGCAGCGGGUGCCCGGCCCUGUCCUCCCCCACUGGCACCGCAGGUCCAAGAAGAGUCACCACCCUUUAAGUGCCACGAAGAGGCCUUCCACUCUCCGGUGCAAGAAUUCAAACAGAAUCAUGCACUGAACCUGGAGCGAAGUCAAGCACGGAGCCUCCUCCCAGCUCAUCCAGCAACACGUUCACAAAAGGCCCUGUUAUUAUCCCCACGUCCACACACUCUAACCCUGUAAUUAGAUGCUUAGGCUAUGAUUGCCCCAUUGUCCGCUGGAUGGGUUUAAUCAUUCUUUCCUCCUACAGUGGCAAUUUUGUCCCAAUUAAUUAUUUCAGUUUGAACAGCAAUAGCUGGUUGAGUUUAGAGAGAAAUUAAAAGGGUAGAGCACAAUAAUGAAGAGCGAGCUAACCAGGGAAAAGCUGCAGACAAGGCUGCUGCUCCAUGCUCUCCACCGAGGGCUGGAGCACCUCCUUGCCUGCACAUGGCAGCAGGGCUGUGUGUUCAUCCUCAGGUCCUGCAGAAGGUGCUGCUGCAGCCGUGGUGGCCGUGACAGCAGUGGUGGCUCCAAGGUGAGUGGCAGUGCAGGCAGAGCAAAGAGAUGAGGGCAAUGCCACAAAUUAGGGUCAGCCUAUGGCUAUCAAUGGCAGCUCUCUGAGGAGACAGUUCUGCCGAGGCUGUGCUCCCUGCCCUCCUAUCCUGUGCCCAAACCCCCCGUUUAUUCACUUUAUCUCCCCAUUUAUUCACUCUUGGCCACACAGUGGCAGAGCCCUGCAGCUCCCCAGCACUGCAGCAUGUGUUUUGGUGGUUCUCAGAGGGAUAGGUGCUGUUCUCUGGGUGAUUUGAGAUGCAAUUGAAUUGAGUUGAAAAAAAUAAAAUACAAAUGUUAAGGUUAUACAAGGUUUUGAGGGGAGAGGGGAAAAAUAUUCAUGCCUUUCAGGAGUUACAAAAAUGCUGCCUGUGCAAUUCAUGUAUAAUUCAGUGAAUUCCAGAGUAGUUUGAAUAUUUAAAUUAUGUAUGAUCAAAGCAAUAAAGAAAUCUGCUUUUCCUCACUCCGAGCCCCCAGACGUAAUGCUCCCAAGCGGCCCCUCCCCAAAAUGCAGCUUCUCACCUCCAUUGUGCCUCAUUGCUGCAAAGAAAUUGAGUUUGUCUGGAAAAGUGCAGUGCUGAGUGCGGCCACUGCUCCCCAGCAGCCAAAGGUGGGCAGGUGGGGGCAGCCCCACAGCAUCCCAACCCCACCUCAUCUCUGUGCUGUGACUCCCAGGUGCAGGGGAGGUUCUGGCUGGAGCUGGGGCUGCAGCUCCCCCAACAAACCGAAUGGGGAAAAAAGCAAAAGGGGGGGGAAAUGGACAGAAUGCUGCC